CCUCCAACAAUAUCCUGGUGCUGAGUGAUGACUCACACGACUCCAGCAUCAGUGAUUUUGUUGAAGA
rnacentral:pre_miRNA from 1 species